UACGGAGGGUGCAAGCGUUAUCCGGAUUCACUGGGUUUAAAGGGUGCGUAGGUGGGCUGGUAAGUCCGUGGUGAAAUCUCCAAGCUUAACUUGGAAACUGCCGUGGAUACUAUUAGUCUUGAAUCUCGUGGAGGUAAGCGGAAUAUGUCAUGUAGCGGUGAAAUGCUUAGAUACGACAUAGAACACCGAUAGCGAAGGCAGCUUGCUACACGAGUAUUGACACUGAGGCACGAAAGCGUGGGGAUCAAACAGG
rnacentral:rRNA from 1 species